UACAGAGGUCCCAAGCGUUGUUCGGAUUCAUUGGGCGUAAAGGGUGCGUAGGCGGGUCUUUUAAGUCAGGGGUGAAAUCCUGGAGCUCAACUCCAGAACUGCCUUUGAUACUGAGGAUCUUGAGUUCGGGAGAGGUGAGUGGAACUGCGAGUGUAGAGGUGAAAUUCGUAGAUAUUCGCAGGAACACCAGUGGCGAAGGCGGCUUACUGGUCCAUAACUGACGCUGAGGUGCGAAAGCGUGGGGAGCAAACAGG
rnacentral:rRNA from 1 species